rnacentral:rRNA from 1 species
CAGCCGCCGCGGGAAUACGGAGUGGGCUAGCGUUGUUCGGAAUUACUGGGCGUAAAGGGUGCGUAGGCGGGUUUUUAAGUCAGAGGUGAAAUCCUGGAGCUCAACUCCAGAACUGCCUUUGAUACUGAAAGUCUUGAGUAUGGGAGAGGUGAGUGGAACUGCGAGUGUAGAGGUGAAAUUCGUAGAUAUUCGCAAGAACACCAGUGGCGAAGGCGGCUCACUGGCCCAUAACUGACGCUGAGGCACGAAAGCGUGGGGAGCAAACAGGAUUAGAUACCCCCGUAGUCCCUGUCUCUUAUAC